rnacentral:rRNA from 1 species
GCGUCUUAAGCAUGCAAGUCAAACGGGAUGUAGCAAUACAUCUAGUGGCGAACGGGUGAGUAACGCGUGGAUGAUCUACCUACGAGAUGGGGAUAACUAUUAGAAAUAGUAGCUAAUACCGAAUAAAGUCAAUUAAUUUGUUAGUUGAUGAAAGGAAGCCUUUAAAGCUUCGCUUGUAGAUGAGUCUGCGUCUUAUUAGCUAGUUGGUAGGGUAAAUGCCUACCAAGGCGAUGAUAAGUAGCCGGCCUGAGAGGGUGAACGGUCACACUGGAACUGAGAUACGGUCCAGACUCCUACGGGAGGCAGCAGCUAAGAAUCUUCCGCAAUGGGCGAAAGCCUGACGGAGCGACACUGCGUGAAUGAAGAAGGUCGAAAGAUUGUAAAAUUCUUUUAUAAAUGAGGAAUAAGCUUUGUAGGAAAUGACAAAGUGAUGACGUUAAUUUAUGAAUAAGCCCCGGCUAAUUACGUGCCAGCAGCCGCGGUAAUACGUAAGGGGCGAGCGUUGUUCGGGAUUAUUGGGCGUAAAGGGUGAGUAGGCGGAUAUGUAAGUCUAUGCAUAAAAUACCACAGCUCAACUGUGGAACUAUGUUGGAAACUAUAUGUCUAGAGUCUGAUAGAGGAAGUUAGAAUUUCUGGUGUAAGGGUGGAAUCUGUUGAUAUCAGAAAGAAUACCGGAGGCGAAGGCGAACUUCUGGGUCAAGACUGACGCUGAGUCACGAAAGCGUAGGGAGCAAACAGGAUUAGAUACCCUGGUAGUCUACGCUGUAAACGAUGCACACUUGGUGUUAACUAAAAGUUAGUACCGAAGCUAACGUG